GGAACUGAAGCUUAGGGCAGGGGGCGGGGGAGUACUGGGAAGUGCCCAAGGACAUAAGGAAAAUGGCCAAUAUCAGGAGUCACUGGCUGUCUCAAAAUUGCAGCUAUGGUUGCCUACUCAAAUUACUAGGAAAUUGGAGCUGAGUUUGUAGCAAACGCGAAAACUAUUGUACACCAAUGUCCUGUUGCUCAGAAACACGGCUAAUGCAUAAAGGCAGUGAGAGAAAAGAUGGUUAAAAUAAAAGAAAAAUUGGAAAA
rnacentral:lncRNA from 1 species